AGGUCUUUCUGUUUGUGGGUUCAGGAGGAGUUUGGAGGACUGUGGAGACCAGGUGUUGAAGCUAUAAGCAGAGACGGAGAGUGUGAUAUUAUCCUUCAAAGUGCACAUGGAAUAGAUGAGGAGAAGCUGUACCUCAAUCUGCAAGACUUCUAUAAUGCAUGAUCCAACAAUGUAUGUUACUGAUAAGGAGUCUUCAACAAGGUUCUGCUCCUGGAAUAUGAGAACAAAUGUAUUUCUCUGAUCUGCUGACAGUAGAAGAUAACUCAACAGUGACACUGAAGCUAUUGUUAUCCACCAUCUUCAUCCAAGUCUGAUGAGGGAAGAUGUAAGAAUCAAUGACUUGGUGAGCUGGAAAAAAACUUAAAAAAUUGAAGUGAGCCAAUUAUAGUAAAAUACUAAGUGAAGUGAUGGAUUCUCUACCUCUUGGUAUAU